rnacentral:rRNA from 1 species
GAGUUUGAUCUUGGCUCAGAGUGAACGCUGGCGGCAUGCCUAACACAUGCAAGUCGAACGGUAACAGGCCCGCAAGGGUGCUGACGAGUGGCGGACGGGUGAGGAAUACAUCGGAAUCUGCCCGGUUGUGGGGGAUAACGUAGGGAAACUUACGCUAAUACCGCAUACGACCGAGAGGUGAAAGCGGGGGAUCGCAAGACCUCGCGCGAUCGGAUGAGCCGAUGUCGGAUUAGCUAGUUGGCGGGGUAAAGGCCCACCAAGGCGACGAUCCGUAGCUGGUCUGAGAGGAUGAUCAGCCACACUGGGACUGAGACACGGCCCAGACUCCUACGGGAGGCAGCAGUGGGGAAUAUUGGACAAUGGGGGCAACCCUGAUCCAGCAAUGCCGCGUGUGUGAAGAAGGCC